AGCGAACGCUGGCGGCAGGCCUAAUACAUGCAAGUCGAACGGAUCCUUCGGGAUUAGUGACGGACGGGUGAGUAACACGUGGGAACGUGCCCUUUGGUUCGGAACAACUCAGGGAAACUUGAGCUAAUACCGAAUGUGCCCCCAUCCUUAAACAAGAUGGGUGGGAAAGAUUUAUCGCCAUUGGAGCGGCCCGCGUCUGAUUAGCUAGUUGGUGAGGUAAAGGCCCACCAAGGCUACGAUCAGUAGCUGGUCUGAGAGGAUGAUCAGCCACACUGGGACUGAGACACGGCCCAGACUCCUACGGGAGGCAGCAGUAGGGAAUCUUGCGCAAUGGGCGAAAGCCUGACGCAGCCAUGCCGCGUGAAUGAUGAAGGUCUUAGGGAUUGUAAAAUUCUUUCAGCGGGGACGAUAAUGACGGUACCCGCAGAAGAAGCCCCGGCUAACUCGUGCCCAGCCCGCCGCU
rnacentral:rRNA from 1 species